UACGUAGGGACCAAGCGUUGUUCGGAUUUACUGGGCGUAAAGGGCGCGUAGGCGGGUCUUUAAGUCAGGGGUGAAAUCCUGGAGCUCAACUCCAGAACUGCCUUUGAUACUGAAGAUCUUGAGUUCGGGAGAGGUGAGUGGAACUGCGAGUGUAGAGGUGAAAUUCGUAGAUAUUCGCAAGAACACCAGUGGCGAAGGCGGCUCACUGGCCCGAUACUGACGCUGAGGCACGAAAGCGUGGGGAGCAAACAGG
rnacentral:rRNA from 1 species